CAAGAAUCCAAAAAGCUUCUUUAAGCAGUCAGACACUGACAGAUGGGAUUUAGUGAAGAGGAGGAUAUGAAGGAAGAAAAGGAGGAGAAAGACUGAAGACAGAGAGAGGGCUUCCCUGGUGGCUCAGACGGUAAAGGAUCUGCCUGUAACGUGGGAGACCUGGGUUCGAUCCCUGGGUCCGGAAGAUCCCCUGGAGAAAGAAAUGGCAACCCAUUCCAGUACUCUUGCCUGGAAAAUUCCACGGAUGGAGGAGCUGGUAGGCAUCAUCUAAUCCACUGGGGACCUGAACAGAACAAAAAGGCUGAGGAAGAACAAGUGUACUAUCUCUGCUUGAGCACACAUAUUCU
ensembl:lncRNA